UUGCAGCCAAUCAAGCUUACCAAGCUCCUUUCCACAUAGAUAGAGGCUGAGUGAGCAAAGGCCGCAAAUAGUGGCCUCCUUGGGAGUACAUUCAGCCUGUUGCCUAGGCAGGUAGCCUAAGAUAACUUAUAAACAAUU